rnacentral:rRNA from 1 species
UACGUAGGGGGCAAGCGUUGUCCGGAUUCAUUGGGCGUAAAGAGCGUGUAGGCGGCCAGGUAGGUCGGUUGUGAAAACUGGAGGCUCAACCUUCAGAGGUCGACCGAAACCAUCUGGCUAGAGUCCGGGAGAGGAGAGUGGAAUUCCUGGUGGUAGCGGUGAAAUGCGCAGAUAUCAGGAAGAACACCCGUGGCGAAAGCGGCUCUCUGGAACGGUACUGACGCUGAGACGCGAAAGCGUGGGGGAGCGAACAGGG